rnacentral:rRNA from 1 species
AUAUUGCACAAUGGGCGAAAGCCUGAUGCAGCAACGCCGCGUGAGUGAUGAAGGUUUUCGGAUCGUAAAACUCUGUUGUUAGGGAAGAACAAGUAUCGGAGUAACUGCCGGUACCUUGCCGGUACCUAACCAGAAAGCCACGGCUAACUACGUGCCAGCAUCCGCGGUAAUACGUAGGUGGCAAGCGUUGUCCGGAAUUAUUGGGCGUAAAGCGCGCGCAGGCGGUUCCUUAAGUCUGAUGUGAAAGCCCCCGGCUCAACCGGGGAGGGUCAUUGGAAACUGGGGAACUUGAGUGCAGAAGAGAAGAGCGGAAUUCCACGUGUAGCGGUGAAAUGCGUAGAGAUGUGGAGGAACACCAGUGGCGAAGGCGGCUCUUUGGUCUGUAACUGACGCUGAGGCGCGAAAGCGUGGGGAGCAAACAGG